AAACGUGUAUUAGUGCCCCAGCUCCCAGUGUAAGGCAAGUAAAGCGUGUUGCGGUAAACUCCGCAGGUGAUUUCUUAGAAAACCGAGUUGUAAGAUGACGCGAAUUGUUCCCAUUGACGGGACCGUAAGCCCAGCUCUGGUGGACUUACUGCACGUUCCUGAGCAUGAGAGAUGUAAAAAAAAUUACGUUUUGCUCCGGAAUAAUAGUUUGAAAUUCUUGCAGUCCAAAUUUAUUGCAGUUCUACAAAAAGCCAAAAAAAUACUUGUUCCCAAACAGGCCUAAUGGCCAACAGCGUUUCUUUCCUAAUUAUAAAUUUUAAGCCAAAUACAAGCUGCAGGCAUCACUUUGUUUCGAGGUACAGCAGCAGUGAAGUACCCAAGAUAAAAUCCUGUUUCUGAUUUGCCAGCUCCCCUUGUCUUAAUAGAUUAUCAUGUCUGCAAAAUACUACAAUGUCUGUUUCUCAUUCUGAGGUGCUGUAUGUUUCCACCAUCAACAGUUUGCUAUGAAAAGUAGAGACACACAAACCAGUGACACACCAUCUAAGAUAAGCUACAUAUUAAUUGAAAAGUAACUGACAGCAGCAGACAAAGCUUUUCCACCUGGCUCAUUCUGGCCUUCUCACUGCUGCUGCCACAUCUUCUGCCAGGAGGCCCAAAAUGGCUCAUCUGUCCUCAAAGCUUCUCAUGCAUUUUUAGGAUGCAUAUGAAGGUAAGCAGAUACCCAACCAGCAGAUGUUCAGAAAUUAUUUGUUAAACUGGGUGUUCCCAAGCAAUGCAAGCAGAAGGCGUGCUGGAAGCACAUCUGUUAGCUUUUUCUACAAAAAUAAAACCCUGUCUAGAUUCCCUGGGGGCCGGAGCACGCCUGGCCGUGCCCGUGAGUUACAGUCACAAACCCCCAGGUAAGUUCUGCUCCGUGCAUCCCCUAAAGAUGCACAGCAAGGACCCCGGGUCUCACACCACCACGAGGAUGGGUAUUCCCAUCCAUCACAGUCAGGUUUUUUUCACCUCAGGAGCUUUGCUUUUUAAGUGUCCCUUUGGUACUGGGGCAGGGCUCCGUGUCCCACCUUGGCCCCCCGCGUGCAGAGAAACGUUUGCUGCUCUCCAGUGGAGAGGCUGGAAAACCCUUCCCACUGCCUGGGAAGCGCCAGCACCAGGCAGAGCGUGGGGCUGGGCAGAUCAGCAAGGAAACCCCAAAGCACCGUCAAAUCCUGCUACUCUGCUGAUGCAAAAAACCACACCACACAGACCAAUUUUCUGAAGACUGCAUUUUGAGUAUCAUAAUAUAUAUAUAUGUGCAUUUCAUUUUUACAGAUAAAAACUCCGUUUAUUUUUAACCUGUAUUUAAAUUUUGGAGGCUUACAUUAAAUUAAGGUAGCUUGUUUAAUAUCAAUUGUAACAGCAGGUGACAUUUUUAUAUAAAAACAGCCUAAAGGAAAAAAAAAAACCAACCCAAACAUUUGAUUUAAAAGACCUGACACCAAUGAUCUCAAGGCAAGAUCAAACGCCAAUGGAUUUGCUUUUAGAAAAGAAAAAGGGGGCAUUUAAGCCAACCCAUUCACAGCCUCUCCCUGCUGGCUUCUUCAUACAGUGGUUUUGAUAGUGGUCCCAGAGGGAACUGUAUUUUGCCUCUCUAGCUAAAAUACUAGUUACUAUAGCAACUUUGAAGGAAGAAAAUUGUGGCUUCAAAACUGAAAGAUUGGCAAAACUUCAAAUACACUGUCUGGAUCAGGCAGACAACAGCACACACUAAUGCUGCAAGUGCAAAAAGAGGGGGAGUGAAAUGCAGGAGUAGUGCACCUGCAGUACCAUGAGCUGGAAAAAGAAUAUUCUGCACAACUGGGGGGAAGGGGGGAAAUUGCAA